rnacentral:rRNA from 1 species
UACGGGGAGGGCAAGCGUUGGUUCGGAAUUACUGGGCUGUAAAGGGCUACGGUAGGUGGCCAACUAAGUCAAACGUGAAAUCCCUCGGCUUAAACCGGGGGAACGUGCCGUUUGAUACUUGGGAUGGCUUGAGUUUGGGAGAGGGAUGCGGGAAUUCCAGGGUGUAGGCGGUUGAAAUGCGUAGGAUAAUCUGGAGGAACACCGGUGGCGAAGG